rnacentral:rRNA from 2 species
GGGUUGUGAGGUUAAGCGACUAAGCGUACACGGUGGAUGCCCUGGCAGUCAGAGGCGAUGAAGGACGUGCUAAUCUGCGAUAAGCGCCGGUAAGGUGAUAUGAACCGUUAUAACCGGCGAUUUCCGAAUGGGGAAACCCAGUGUGACUCGUCACACUAUCAUUAACUGAAUCCAUAGGUUAAUGAGGCGAACCGGGGGAACUGAAACA